rnacentral:lncRNA from 1 species
CCAGGCUAGGAGUUGAAUUGGAGCUGCAGCUGCCUGUCUACACCUCAGCCACAGCAAUGUGGAAUCUGCAAGGCGGGAUCUGAGCAACUUCUGCGACCUACACCAUAGCUCGUGGCAAUGCCAGAUCCUUAACCCACUGAACAAAGCAAAGGAUCAAAGCCGCAUCCUCAUGGAUACUAGUCGGGUUCAUUACCACUGAGCCACAUGUGACCUGAUGAAGGCUGGGUUUGCCCCCUCUGCUCUGCCUCACCCGAUAACUCAUCCCUUGAAUAGGACACCCCAGUACCAACUUGAGAAAAGCAGAGUGGUCCCAAAGAUGUCUUCUCAUCUAACCUGAGGCCUGUGAAUAUAUUACUUUCCAGAGCAAGAGGGGCUUGGCAGAUGUAAUUAAGGUUACAGAUUUGACAAUGGAGAGGUUCACUUGGGUUAUACAGGUGAGCCUUUAUAAGUGGAGAACUUUCUCUCACCAGAGGCAGAAGAGAAGGAGGAAAAGGGGACAAAAGAGAGAGAUCUGAAGCAUGAGAAAGACUUGCUGCACUGACGCUGGUUUCAAUAAGGAGGCGGCAGUGUUGGGAGGAAUGCACAUGGCCUUGGGAGCAGCGGGAGGCUCCCGGCUGACACCAGCAAAGAAACAGGACCCCAGCCCAACAACCGCAGGGAACUGACUUUUGCAACCUAUCUAAAUCAGGCUGGACAUAGAUUCUCCCCAAGAGCCUCCAGACAGAGACCAGGCUACCAACACCUUGAUUUUGGCCUCAUCAGACAUAAAUCAAAAAAACCAGCCAAGUCCAUCCAGACUUCUCGCCAACAGGAGAGAUAAGACAUUUUGCAGUCAUUUGUUCCGGCUGCAGAACCCAAAUCGGCCCUUUUAUACUGUGGAGAAGCAGGAGAGCUUCUUCUGUUCACACUUCUAGGACCUGUUUUAGGGAACAGCUCAAGAAAGCCUGAUUCUAUCAUCCUCCUUUUAGGGAAAUGAGCAGCCCAGCUGCUCUUGGAAACUCUGUGCUGCUUCAGCAGCCUGGUUGGGUUUUAUCCCUUAAUGAGCUGGAUGGCAGAAGGAAGGUUUUAGCCGCACCAGAAGUGUGUACUUUUGGAUGAGAGUCCAACACAUAAUAUGAAAGGAUGAAAAACAAUGGCUGUUGCCAACUCUCAAGCCUGGCACAGAAUGCCAAUUAGCAGGAGAGAAGAUGGGUAGUUUCUGCCUAUCAGAAGGGGAACAAAAAUCUUGUGCCUGAAAGAUAGCAAACAGCAUGGGGCCUGCCCUUGGCCCCCACCAGGGGUUAUUAAUGUCAGAGAAUUCUUUGCUAUGAAAAGGAAGACACGAACGAAGUCUGGCAACAACAUAAAACAAGAGGGGAUAAUUUCCUGGGGCAGUGGGGGCUGUGUGGAAUGGGUGACAAAUCCCGGAGCAGGGUCUGAGUGGCAGGCCUGUCAUCUCUAGUACUUAUGUUGUCACAAACCUGCCUUUAUCCCAUUGCACAUUAGCCAGCGGUCACAGGAGAGGGCGCCAUGGAUGGUGUGGGUGGUCAGCCUCCUGCAAACAUUAUUCCCCAGGUUCCUACUCCAUUCCAGCUCUCCCAUGGUUGAUAAUCUGGACCAGAAGUGACUGGCAUCAGGUCUCAAAAGAGAUCUCCCAACCCAAAGGCAUAGUGAGGACAAAAUAAAAUCAGGCAUUGAUAACCCCACUUGACUAUCACAGCUUUGGGGUUUAUUUUUGCUUUUAUUUAUUUUUUUUCAAGGCCACACCUGUGACAUUCAGAAGUUCCUGGGCUAGGGAUCGAAUCAGAGCUGCAGCUGAGGUCUAUGCCACAGCCAUGGCAACACUGGAUCCGAGCCGCAUCUGAGACCUACACAGCAGCUUGCAGCAACACCUGAUCCUUAACUCACUGAGUGAGGCCAGGGAUCGAACCCGCAUCCUCACAGACACUAUGUUGAGUUCUUAACCCGCUGAGCCAUGAAGGGAAUUCCUACAUCAGGGCUUUUUAAAUGAUAGUAUUUCUUUCAUAAGAUUCACUUUGGGGUAUACCUUCCAAGUUGUAGUUCUCAAUAGCAUAGAUCAUUUGACCUCCGUAUGUUUUUACUUCAAGCUAUAAAAAGGAGAUGACAACAUCUGCCUUGACUACAUCCCAAGAUUGUUAUAAGGAUAUAAAGAUGUGACCACUUAUAUGAAAGUCAAUUCUAUAUCACAAAUUCUAUAUCACAAAGGUUUAUUCUUACUACCACCUCUGUGACAGCCAGGACUACAGGUUAACGAGUGUAUGUUAGGCCUUCAACCAGGAAUGUCUCCGUGGUAUCACAGUUAUGCUGUUGCUCCUACUAGUUAUUGGGACUAAGGAUUUGGCAGAUUUGUUAGCUUUCUCUUUGUCCUCCUGGUACCUGCCUCUGACUAGUGCCUUUUUGGACAGAUCUUUAUGCCGUGUCUUUUUUGACUCCCAUCGGAGUCCGGAAAGCACCUCCUAUUUGAGGACCUCCUCUUUUUCCCCUUUAAGAUCCCCUCUUCAAUUUUCUAGAAGAACUGCUCUCUGUUCAGUGGCAAGGGCUUUAACAAAUCAGAUAAACAUCACACCUACAUAAUGCUUUCAGUAACUGAGCUAAGGCUUCAUUCUUAUGAAACUGAAUGGCCCCAGGAAUGGCUCUGGAUUGCAGUUUCUAAGCAGGCAGGUGAGACUUUGGGGCCUGCAAACAAUACCAUGGGUGGGUGUCCAAGGUCAGGACAAGAGGCCUGCUUGGUAAAUCGGAUUGUCCAUGUGUUCAAAACAUUUCCAAGGGUGUGAUGGGGAACUACACCCCACGUAGCCUCUCAGCACAGAACUCAAAGCCCAGGGCUGUGCAGUUGCAAGCUCCAUCUCAGCCUCUGAGUGAAGAGAAAGGAAUUCCAAAAUGUCUGCUUUAGUGUCUGCUUUAGAGCUUGACACCCUAAUAAACCCAUCCCUUAAAAAGGACACUGAUGAUGUAAAGAAUAAUUGCUUUGAAAAUAUCGUAAGAAAUCUCCAGGCACUAAAUAAACAGAAACUGUUACUUUGAAGUAUAUAAAAUUAUAAGAAAAAUGAUCAACAAUGAAAAAAAAAGUGUCAAACUGGAUGAUUUUAAGAUCUGGCUCAACUCAACUGCUCCCCCUACUGUCAAUAACUGUUCUUAACUUCCUCUAAUGUUUCUAAAGCCAACUGGCAGAGAAACUGAAAGACUGAACGUUGCAGCAUAUUAUUAUUUUCGAAAAUUUUAGAUCAAUUUAGAACAAUAGGGAAGAGUACAAAAAAUGGAUUUUCUUUCUUGAGAAGGCAUCUAUUUAAACAUUAAUGGACUGCAAUCCGCUAUGACAAGAAAAAUAUAACAGAGAAUCAGCGAUAUAAAUAUACAGAGAAAAAUUUGUUAUUCCUCUAAAUAUUAUUUUAAGUACAUUAUGUUUUACGCACAUGUAACACAACUAUCCAGCGAGUCAUCUUUAAAAUAUGUUUUGGAAGUUAGUCAUCGAAUUAGAUAAAAUAUUCAAGGCAAGUUCAAGAACACCAAAUUAGAAAACACUUCUAGAGAUCCUAAAUUAGGGUUUGUGACUCUGCUGGUAUGUUCCAAUACAUGCAGGUAAAUGUUUUCUUCUCUAUUUUUGCCUUUCAAUAAGGGCAGUCUCAUUACAAUGUCUCUGAAUUUAUCGUACAUCUUAAAGUGUCAUCUGUUUUUGAUUCUUAGGAGAAAUCCAGUUGGGCUUACUAACAAGAAUUAUAAGCAGGACUAGAGCACGUGGGUAGAGCAAGGCUGGCUACACCUGUUCAAAGUCUGUGGACAUGCUUUGCUUUCUCAGCCAUGAGCUAUGUUUUCCAAGUCUGUUCUCUGUGACUUUGCGGCUUAUCCUUACUUCUCUUUUUUGAUACUUUCCAACCUCCAAAAUUGUUCAGCUGCUAAAAAGUUCCAAAACAAGCAAAUGUGCUCCUGGAAUCCUACCCUUAACAUUGCUGGACAGUAUAUACUAAGGCUUCUUCUCCAGCCAAAAUAAUAAAAGAUCUUUUAAGUGGCUGAAAUUCUUGGUUGAUUGCACAUACAUGCCAAUGUCAGACAACUAUAAAUAGAGAGAUUGGGAAGAAAAAUAGGGAGAGUCUUUAUAACUCCAAGGAAAUGAAAUGGAAUGUUUUGAAGGCCAUCAGAAACAGAACAUGUAUUUAUAAAAUUAAGAUUUAUCUUCCUUUAGUCCAAAAUCUCCUUCAAGCAGAAGGGAAUCCACAUGGAUCAUGCACUUGCAGUAGGAGGGAAUAAAAGGACUUUCUUUUCUUUAUUAAUAUGUAUUUACUAUUCUCAAUCCUGUAAUUAAGACUUCUCCUUUAUAUUAUCCUUUUGAGUUUAGAUAUCUGAUGGAUCUUUUGAUAUUCUUCUCCUACCACUGCUUUGUUUCCCCAGAAUACUAAAAAUCCUUCAAAGGAUAAAAUUACGCUCAUGGUUACUGGUAUAAAUGAAGUCAGCAGGGAACUGCAUGGGUGUUACCUAGGGCAGACUUGGCCCCAAAAUAAACUGGGUCGCUUGCUACAGCUGUUCAAAGAGACUUGAGGAUUUCUCAAGAAAUUCUUACUCUCUUAGUCAGGUUAACAUAUCCACUGGCUUCAACAGCUGUGUUAAAACACAUUUGUAAAGACAUUACUCAAUUUUGAACAGUGACUUAACUUUUGUAUAUUAACCUGCUCAUCUUAUAUUAGCCUAUUUAAACUGAAUUCAAAUUAGUUCUUGCAAAUGAAUUCACUUUAUUUUGAACCUAUUACUGCUGUACAGGAGAAUUUACCAGUUGUUUUGGUUUCAUAAUUGUGCUAUAGACAAGCAAAUUAGCUAGUGGCAAUGGAGAAAGCUAGCACUUGCUUAAUAGCUCUUAAAUGCAAUUCUUCUGAAUCUAGACCCCAUUCUAAAGUGAGAAAGUGAGAGGUUUUGAAAUGUUGAUGAUGGUUACAAGGUCACAAGUCCAUGUGGAAGAAGAAUCAAUAUUAUAAUUAAUGUCUCCGAAUUCUCUCUUCUCUCUAAAUUGCAACGGGUUCGAACUGGCUGGAGGCUAUAUCUUUGCUUUAAGGAUUCAGUACAUAACAUAUACCAGAAAGUCAUAUUUUUAUAAUAUAUUUAGUGAUGAUUUUAUUACUUAGUAUUUUCUGAAAUAAAUCCUUAAGGCAAUUAAAAAAAAAAAAAGACCACAGGGAUUUGAAAAUAGCAUGGUUCCAAACAAGUCAUGUUUAUAAUUUUAAAGCCUUACUUCAAGCUCAGCUUUUAAUAUUUUUCCUGAAAUAUUUUUAUAGUAAUCUAAGGAUGGAACUCUGUUAAAUGACUUUUAAUUCUAGGUUUUUAAAAAGCAUAUGUGAUGGAGAAAUUUUUUAAAAAAUAUAUUAACUACAAUUCUAUCAACUGAUUUAAAAGACUUUACAUAAAAAUGUAAUAUUUCCUUCAGUAUUUUAGACCUUGUUUUUGGCUGAAAAACGUAAAUCUAUGUUCAUGGAAAAUGAAAACAAUAUAUAUCUCUGAAGUGCUAUCUUUUAGCAGCAGCAUUCUUAAUAAAAAAUCAUAUUCUGAAGAAUUCUCAUUUGCCCUCAAAAUUAAAAGCAUAUUUAAUGAUUCUAAUAUAUUUUAAGAAAAAUUCAGAGAUGGAGAACAAUGCACACAGGAUUAAAAAUCUAAAGCAGCAAGACCAGAGGAUCAUGCAGCCUGAAUUUUGCCAAUGAAAUUAACAACUUCUAUUGCAACAUGACCAGUACCUCUCAGAGAAAAGAGAAGCAUCCAGUCCUAGGUGGUCAGAAUGAAGUAGAGCAAUGCAAAGCUCAAAUACUACUGUAAUUGUCUUUUUUUUUUUUUGGAAAGACAUGAGAUAACCUAUUUUCUCCUGAGACAGAGAAAAUGGACAAAAGUGUCUUCUCUGAGAGGCAUCCCACUAGUCACUACAAAAUGGUUGAACAAGAAAGCCCAUUCAUCUGGGCACACAGAUGGUAGGUGCUGAAUACAACUGCAAAGAUGAACAACUGGAAUGGGCCAGGGGUAAAUGCUCUGAGGUCACAUGUGUAAGAGGACAGUGGAGGAAGAUUCAUUGUGUAGAGCUCCCCCUUCCACACCCUAUCUUCUGUAGACUCCUCUAAAUGGAUAAAAAUUGCCAUUUAUUUUCCUGGGCCAUUUAGAGGACAUUCUUAGCUCUGCCCCCUGAAGGAAGGAAACAGGAGGUAAGCUAAAUUGGAGGCUCUUCUCCACAAAUGCUAUUCUGUGUACAUUUGCCAGAUUUUCCUGUUACUUCAGAGAUAGGGUUAGAAAUUCAACUGUCUUAUCAAAAAUUGUUUUAUAAAGUGGCUACCUGGUUGGACAAAAUUUUUGAGCAAUCAUGAGAAAUGUGUUUGACCAUUUAAUUAAGGCAGGAACUGUAUACUGUAUAUAUUACCUGGCACGUGAAAGCACUUAAUUAAAAUAAGUUAGACCACUGAUGAGUGAAGUUAGGGUGGAGGGGUAUUAAAGGGCAGGGGAAACACAGAAUGUUCCCUUCUAGCUGAGGACCUUUUAUUCCCAGGGAAAAGUCGAGAUAGUAAGAACUGACCCUUAUUGUGGGGGGGCAGGGAUCAAGAUGGAGGAGGAGUAGGAUGUGGCACUCACCUUCUCCCACAAACACAUCCAAAAAAAAAAAAAA